rnacentral:rRNA from 1 species
ACGGGGGGUGCAAGCGUUGUUCGGAAUCAUUGGGCGUAAAGAGCGUGUAGGCGGCUGGAUAAGUCAGAUGUGAAAGCCCUCGGCUUAACCCAGGAACUGCAUUUGAAACUGUCCAGCUUGAGUAAGGGAGAGGAAAGUGGAAUUCCUGGUGUAGAGGUGAAAUUCGUAGAUAUCAGGAGGAACACCGGUGGCGAAGGCGUCUUUCUGGGACGAUACUGACGCUGAGGCGCGAAAGCGUGGGUAGCAAACAG